rnacentral:rRNA from 1 species
CUACGGGUGGCAGCAGUGAGGAAUAUUGCACAAUGGGGGGAACCCUGAUGCAGCAACGCCGCGUGGAGGAUGACGCAUUUCGGUGUGUAAACUCCUUUUAUCAGAGAAGAACAUGACGGUAUCUGAUGAAUAAGCUCCGGCUAACUCCGUGCCAGCAGCCGCGGUAAUACGGAGGGAGCAAGCGUUAUUCGGAAUCACUGGGCGUAAAGGACGCGUAGGCGGGACAGUAAGUCAGGUGUGAAAUCCAAUGGCCCAACCAUUGAACUGCACUUGAAACUGCUGACCUAGAGUACUGAAGGGGCAGAUGGAAUUAGUGGUGUAGGGGUAAAAUCCGUAGAUAUCACUAGGAAUACCGAAAGCGAAGGCGAUCUGCUGGGAAGUUACUGACGCUGAGGCGUGAAAGCGUGGGGAGCAAACAGGAUUAGAUACCCUCGUAGUC